ncrna:unclassified sequences RAGATH-28 RNA
GGCGGAUUGAUUCGUCUCCACCCGAUGCAACGGCUGACAUACGGCGAAGUCACCGAUAACCUCAGGUUAGCGGAUGGCGAAGC